rnacentral:rRNA from 1 species
GAGAUGUGGGUAGUCCGUACGAGCGCACCUUGUCCUUAGUUGCCAGCACAUAAUGGUGGGAACUCUAAGGAGACUGCCGGUGACAAACCGGAGGAAGGUGGGGACGACGUCAAGUCAUCAUGGCCCUUACGACCUGGGCUACACACGUGCUACAAUGGCCAGUACAGAGGGCUGCAAGCCCGCGAGGGGGAGCCAAUCCCACAAAGCUGGUCGUAGUCCGGAUCGCAGUCUGCAACUCGACUGCGUGAAGUUGGAAUCGCUAGUAAUCGUGAAUCAGAAUGUCACGGUGAAUACGUUCCCGGGCCUUGUACACACCGCCCGUCACACCAUGGGAGUAGGUUGCAAAAGAAGUAGCUAGGCUAACCUUCGGGAGGCCGGUUACCACUUUGUGAUUUAUGACUGGGGUGAAGUCGUAACAAGGUAGCCCUAGGGGAACCUGGGGCUGGAUCACCUCCUU